AACGCGAAGAACCUUACCUGAUCUUGACAUCCCCCUGACCGGUGAGUAAUGUCACCUUUCCUUCGGGACAGGGGAGACAGGUGGCGCAUGGUUGUCGUCAGCUCGUGUCGUGAGAUGUUGGGUUAAGUCCCGCAACGAGCGCAACCCUUAUCCUUAGUAGCCAGCAUUACGGAUGGGCACUCUAGGGAGACUGCCAGGGACAACCUGGAGGAAGGUGGGGAUGACGUCAAAUCAUCAUGCCCCUUAUGACCAGGGCUACACACGUGCUACAAUGGCGUAAACAAAGGGAAGCGAAGGAGUGAUCCUGAGCAAAUCUCAAAAAUAACGUCUCAGUUCGGAUUGUAGUCUGCAACUCGACUACAUGAAGCUGGAAUCGCUAGUAAUCGCGAAUCAGCAUGUCGCGGUGAAUACGUUCCCGGGUCUUGUACACACCG
rnacentral:rRNA from 1 species